UGUCCCCAAAGUGUGGCUUCUUACUGCGGAUCCUUUCUCCACCAUCAACUACAGAGUGAAUACUACAUACAGUUCCAGGAAUGUCAGCAAACACCACAGAAAGGAUUGACAGCAAUCUGUUUGGUCUGCAGAUGGAGGUAACCAGUAAACUGCUGCACGCAGAACUGCAAAGAUUGGUUGCAUUGGAGGAAGAA